AGAGUUUGAUCAUGGCUCAGAACGAACGCUGGCGGCAUGCCUAACACAUGCAAGUCGAACGAAGCCUUCGGGGCUUAGUGGCGCACGGGUGCGUAACACGUGGGAAUCUGCCCUUCGGUUCGGAAUAACAGUUAGAAAUGACUGCUAAUACCGGAUGAUGACGUAAGUCCAAAGAUUUAUCGCCGAAGGAUGAGCCCGCGUAGGACUAGGUAGUUGGUAGGGUAAUGGCCUACCAAGCCGACGAUCCUUAGCUGGUCUGAGAGGAUGAUCAGCCACACUGGGACUGAGACACGGCCCAGACUCCUACGGGAGGCAGCAGUGGGGAAUAUUGGACAAUGGGCGAAAGCCUGAUCCAGCAAUGCCGCGUGAGUGAUGAAGGCCUUAGGGUUAUAAAGCUCUUUACCAGGGAUGAUAAUGACAGUACCUGGAGAAUAAGCUCCGGCUAACUCCGUG
rnacentral:rRNA from 1 species